rnacentral:rRNA from 1 species
CGUCGUAGUCCGGAUUGGAGUCUGCAACUCGACUCCAUGAAGUCGGAAUCGCUAGUAAUCGUGGAUCAGAAUGCCACGGUGAAUACGUUCCCGGGCCUUGUACACACCGCCCGUCACACCAUGGGAGUGGGCUGCAAAAGAAGUAGGUAGUUUAACCUUCGGGGGGACGCUUACCACUUUGUGGUUCAUGACUGGGGUGAAGUCGUAACAAGGUAGCGCUAGGGGAACCUGGCGCUGGAUCACCUCCUUAAACGAUGAU